AUUGAACGCUGGCGGCAGGCCUAACACAUGCAAGUCGAGCGGAUGACGGGAGCUUGCUCCUUGAUUCAGCGGCGGACGGGUGAGUAAUGCCUAGGAAUCUGCCUGGUAGUGGGGGACAACGUUUCGAAAGGAACGCUAAUACCGCAUACGUCCUACGGGAGAAAGCAGGGGACCUUCGGGCCUUGCGCUAUCAGAUGAGCCUAGGUCGGAUUAGCUAGUUGGCGGGGUAAUGGCUCACCAAGGCGACGAUCCGUAACUGGUCUGAGAGGAUGAUAAGUCACACUGGAACUGAGACACGGUCCAGACUCCUACGGGAGGCAGCAGUGGGGAAUAUUGGACAAUGGGCGAAAGCCUGAUCCAGCCAUGCCGCGUGUGUGAAGAAGGUCUUCGGAUUGUAAAGCACUUUAAGUUGGGAGGAAGGGCAGUAAGUUAAUACCUUGCUGUUUUGACGUUACCGACAGAAUAAGCACCGGCUAACUCUGUGCCAGCAGCCGCAGUAAAAC
rnacentral:rRNA from 1 species